rnacentral:rRNA from 1 species
GACGAACGCUGGCGGCGUGCUUAACACAUGCAAGUCGAACGGAAAGGCCCUGCUUUGGUGGGGUGCUCGAGUGGCAAACGGGUGAGUAACACGGGAGUAACCUGCCCUGGACUUUGGGAUAACUUCAGAAAACUGGGACUAAUACCGGAUAGGAGCUCCUGCUGAAUGGUGGGGGUGGGAAAGUUUCGGCGGUUGGGGAUGGACUCGCGGCUUAUCAGCUUGUUGGUGGGGUACUGGCUUACCAAGGCUUUGACGGGUAGCCGGCCUGAGAGGGUGACCGGCCACAUUGGGACUGAGAUACGGCCCAGACUCCUACGGGAGGCAGCAGUGGGGAAUAUUGCACAAUGGGCGGAAGCCUGAUGCAGCAACGCCGCGUGCGGGAUGACGGCCUUCGGGUUGUAAACCGCUUUCGCCUGUGACGAAGCGUGAGUGACGGUAAUGGGUAAAGAAGCACCGGCUAACUACGUG